rnacentral:rRNA from 1 species
GAACCAGACUCCUACGGGAGGCAGCAGUGGGGGAUAUUGGACAAUGGGGGGAACCCUGAUCCAGCGACGCCGCGUGAGUGAAGAAGUAUUUCGGUAUGUAAAGCUCUGUCAGCAGGGAAGAAAGAAAUGACGGUACCUGACCAAGAAGCCCCGGCUAACUACGUGCCAGCAGCCGCGGUAAUACGUAGGGGGCGAGCGUUAUCCGGAAUUACUGGGUGUAAAGGGAGCGUAGACGGCGAGGUAAGCCUGAAGUGGAAGCCCGCGGCCCAACCGCGGAACUGCUUUGGAAACUGUUAAGCUGGAGUGCAGGAGAGGUAAGUGGAAUUCCUAGUGUAGCGGUGAAAUGCGUAGAUAUUAGGAGGAACACCAGUGGCGAAGGCGGCUUACUGGACUGUAACUGACGUUGAGGCUCGAAAGCGUGGGGAGCAAACAGGAUUAGAUACCCUCGUAC